CAAUAGCGUAUAUUAAAGUUGUUGCGGUUAAAAAGCUCGUAGUUGGAUCUCGGCAGGCAGGGGGUGGUUCGCUCUUAGCGCUACUGCCCCAUUUGCCUGUGUGAUUGGCGGAGGUUUCGGGGUGCUCUUCGUUGAGUGACCCGGGGCGCCGUCAGGUUUACUUUGAAAAAAUUAGAGUGCUCAAAGCAGGCUUUUCACGCUUGAAUAUUCGUGCAUGGAAUAAUGGAAUAGGAACUCGUUUCUAUUUUGUUGGUUUUCGGAAAUCGAGUUAAUGAUUAAUAGGGACAAUUGGGGGCAUUAGUAUUCAGACGACAGAGGUGAAAUUCUUGGACCGUCUGAAGACUAACUACUGCGAAAGCAUUUGCCAAGAGUGUUUUCAUUUA
rnacentral:rRNA from 1 species